UACGUAGGUGACCAGCGUUGUCCGGAUUUACUGGGCGUAAAGAGCGCGCAGGCGGUCGUUCAAGUCGAGUGUGAAAGCCCCCGGCUCAACUGGGGAGGGUCACUCGAUACUGAUCGACUUGAAGGCAGGAGAGGGAAGCGGAAUUCCCGGUGUAGUGGUGAAAUGCGUAGAUAUCGGGAGGAACACCAGUGGCGAAGGCGGCUUCCUGGCCUGUUCUUGACGCUGAGGCGCGAAAGCUAGGGGAGAAAACGGG
rnacentral:rRNA from 1 species